UGGGGAAUAUUGCACAAUGGGGGAAACCCUGAUGCAGCAACGCCGCGUGAAGGAUGAAGGUCUUCGGAUUGUAAACUUCUUUAGGUGGAGAAGAAUUUUGACGGUAUCCACAGAAUAAGCCCCGGCUAACUACGUGCCAGCAGCCGCGGUAAUACGUAGGGGGCAAGCGUUAUCCGGAUUUACUGGGUGUAAAGGGUGAGUAGGCGGUUAGUAAAGUCAUAUGUGAAAUUCCAAAGCUUAACUUAGGAACUGCAUAAGAAACUUAUUAACUAGAGUACAGGAGAGGUUGGCGGAAUUCCUAGUGUAGCGGUGAAAUGCGUAGAUAUUAGGAAGAACACCGGUGGCGAAGGCGGCCAACUGGACUGAAACUGACGCUGAGUCACGAAAGCGUGGGGAGCGAACA
rnacentral:rRNA from 1 species